rnacentral:rRNA from 1 species
GAUGGGGAGCGAAAUUUAGUAGCGAAGUAGCUGAUUUCACACUGUCAAGAAAAGUCUCUAUCGAGGUUAAAGGUACCCGUACCGCAAACCGACACAGGUGGGUGAGGAGAGUAUCCUAAGGCCAGCGAGAGAACUGUUGUUAAGGAACUCGGCAAAAUGACCCCGUAACUUAGGGAUAAGGGGGGCCACCAUCAGGUGGCCGCAGAGAAUAGGCCCAAGCGACUGUUUACCAAAAACAUAGGUUUCUGCUAAGUCGAAAGACGAUGUAUAGGAGCUGACGCCUGCCCGGUGCUGGAAGGUUAAGGGGAUCUGUUAGAGCAAUCGAAGCAGUGAACUUAAGCCCCAGUAAACGGCGGCCGUAACUAUAACGGUCCUAAGGUAGCGAAAUUCCUUGUCGGGUAAGUUCCGACCCGCACGAAAGGCGUAACGAUUUGGGCACUGUCUCAACAACAGACUCG